rnacentral:lncRNA from 1 species
AACAAUAUUUUACUAAUCUUUGAAUCUCAGUGGUGGCUUAUUCUAUGACAAGCCCUCAAUAAAUUUUUGUUGUCUUGAACUCAGACAAUGUGACGCGCACACAGGCAUAUAACUGCUCAUAGCUAUCAUUGUGGUGGCGGUGGUGGUUGUGUUUUUUAAUCAUACAAAGUGAUUUUUGAAGCUUUUCUGGUUUGUCUAAGGGCUCUGAGGCUAUAAGGAAGCAGGCUUUCAUUAGAAGAGAGAGCGAGCUGUGUCUUUGUGCUUCACUAUGAUUGCAAUACCAGGGAGUGAUAAUCCCAGGGGAGCUGUCAAGCAGCCUGACAGCAAUUCUAGCAAGAAGGUGGUAGAAACACAAUUUUAGCAAUAAUGAUCAAACAUUUUUUUGAAAUUUUCUUUUAUCCUUGAAGUGCCUUGUGUUGGUGAAAGUCAUUACUGAUCAUUCAUCUGUAGCAAGUCAUCCCUACGUAUCUGUACACGGAAGUGACAGCACAGGGAGAAUUCUGACAAAAGAGAUGAAGGCUCCUAGGCAUGGUGGGAGAGCCAGAAGUUAUAGAGUGCCUGGUGAUGACUCAACAA